rnacentral:rRNA from 1 species
UACGUAGGGGGCUAGCGUUAUCCGGCAUUACUGGGCGUAAAGGGUGCGUAGGUGGUUUCUUAAGUCAGAGGUGAAAGGCUACGGCUCAACCGUAGUAAGCCUUUGAAACUGGGAAACUUGAGUGCAGGAGAGGAGAGUGGAAUUCCUAGUGUAGCGGUGAAAUGCGUAGAUAUUAGGAGGAACACCAGUUGCGAAGGCGGCUCUCUGGACUGUAACUGACACUGAGGCACGAAAGCGUGGGGAGCAAACAGG